UACGUAGGGGGCAAGCGUUGUCCGGAAUCAUUGGGCGUAAAGCGCGUGUAGGCGGCUUGGUAAGUCCGCUCUGAAAGCCCGGGGCUCAGCCCCGGGAGGCGGGUGGAUACUGUCAAGCUCGAGUCCGGAAGAGGCGAGUGGAAUUCCUGGUGUAGCGGUGAAAUGCGCAGAUAUCAGGAGGAACACCAAUGGCGAAGGCAGCUCGCUGGGACGUGACUGACGCUGAGACGCGAAAGCGUGGGGAGCAAACAGG
rnacentral:rRNA from 1 species